CUGGGCAACCUGAGCUCGAGUGUUGGCGUUAGCUGGGCGCGCGGAGUCGAUCGGAGUCGAUCGGAGUCGAUCGGAGUAGGAGAGUCUACCCAACCAGUCACUACCCCUUCGUCCGCGGGUCUCGGGGAGCAGACUGGCGAUGCGGCUGUGUGAUGCUGUGUAAAUAGGAGCUAGCCCUGACAAUCAGUCAUUCGUGAUCCAACAAAACAGAAAACUGUCCAAAGAUACUCUCAGCCUGAACUUUCCAGAAGUGCUCCAAGAAGCAUUAGUUAUCAAACGUCACACUAACAACAGGUUCAGCCAUCCCCACCUCGUUCCAGAAGAAAACUGACAAAUACAACCCUUCCUGAGUGCCAGAAAAACCUGUGGUAGGAACAACUUGCCUGGUCUGGAAAAGCUUCCCAAAGCAAGUGGUGGCAAAAGCAGGAAGAUGGGAAGAAGAGAGGAGUAUUUGGGCCAUGGUUGGUACUUUAGCUUGAAGCACUCGUGCCAGACUUCACACUGCCCCAGCUUCAGAGUUGAAGUCUAAGUAGAAACAAUGCAUUUACUGUCAGUGGGUUGCCUCCUAAAAGUUGUGGAUAACUGUGAUAGUGUCUUAAAUAAUCUUUAAACUCAGUUUGAUGUCCCUGAAAAUUAUAAGACUCUCUUUUUUAUUACUGUAGUUAGGCACCCAAAUUGAGAGGCAGUUAAGGUACUUGAAGUCGGACAAGUUUUGCUGGUAUUUAGUAAACAAAGGGCAGGAAUUGUCAGCGUUGUUUAAACCCAGAUGUUUGACUUGCCUGUCCUAUUGACUCCCUGGGGAGAAGGCUAUCUCUUUGUUACCACUUCCUGGUAUUCCGCCUAUUCCCAGUUCAUCCAGGGUUCAGCACACAUGCUCAAGGGCACCCCCUGUCCCUCGUGUGUAGAUGUGCUUUUCCUCUCGCCCUCCUGUGGCAGUCUGCCCAGCACGAGCAGUCCCACACAUUGGAUAAGAGCCUUUGCUUCAGAGUUGAAGUCCAUGAGUUCAGUCCAGUCAGCUGCAGGGCUGGGGCUGUGGCUCAGUGGUAGAGUGCUUGCCUCGCAUGUGUGAGGCACUGGGUUCCAUCCUCAGCACCACAUAAAAAAAUAAUAAGUA